rfam:Streptococcus lutetiensis 033, complete genome.
AAAACCUUUAAUUAAGUCCAGAGAGACUUUCAAGGUUACUGUAAAAAGAGUGUUAUCUCUGAUGAAGGGUAUGAGUGUACUUUGGUGUGCUCUGCUUAUUUUGCUGUAACCUUGCCUUCUGGCGAGGUUUUUUUGUGU